rnacentral:rRNA from 1 species
AGUGAACGCUGGCGGUAGGCCUAACACAUGCAAGUCGAACGGCAGCACAGUAAGAGCUUGCUCUUACGGGUGGCGAGUGGCGGACGGGUGAGGAAUACAUCGGAAUCUACUUUUUCGUGGGGGAUAACGUAGGGAAACUUACGCUAAUACCGCAUGCGACCUACGGGUGAAAGCAGGGGAUCUUCGGACCUUGCGCGAUUGAAUGAGCCGAUGUCGGAUUAGCUAGUUGGCGGGGUAAAGGCCCACCAAGGCGACGAUCCGUAGCUGGUCUGAGAGGAUGAUCAGCCACACUGGAACUGAGACACGGUCCAGACUCCUACGGGAGGCAGCAGCGGGGAAUAUUGGACAAUGGGCGCAAGCCUGAUCCAGCCAUACCGCGUGGGUGAAGAAGGCCUUCGGGUUGUAAAGCCCUUUUGUUGGGAAAGAAAAGCAGCAGGUUAAUACCCCGCUGUUCUGACGGUACCCAAAGAAUAAGCACCGGCUAACUUCGUG